rnacentral:rRNA from 1 species
CCUACGGGGGGCUGCAGUCGAGGAUCUUCGGCAAUGGACGCAAGUCUGACCGAGCGACGCCGCGUGCGGGAUGAAGGCCUUCGGGUUGUAAACCGCUGUCAGUGGGGAGGAAGGCUCCGUGAAGAGCGGGGUUUGACCUAUCCGCAGAGGAAGUGUGGGCUAAGCUCGUGCCAGCAGCCGCGGUAAGACGAGCCACACAAACGUUAUUCGGAAUUACUGGGCUUAAAGGGUGCGUAGGCGGUGCAGUAAGUUGGGUGUGAAAUACCUCGGCUUAACCGAGGAACGGCGCUCAAAACUACUGUGCUCGAGGGAGACAGAGGUAAGCGGAACUUAGGGUGGAGCGGUGAAAUGCGUUGAUAUCCUAAGGAACACCGGUGGCGAAAGCGGCUUACUGGGUCUCUGCUGACGCUGAGGCACGAAAGCCAGGGUAGCGAACGGGA